UCUGGAAGCAAUGAUGACUGAUCUUUUUUCCCCAGCAGAUCGACAGUGUUGACCUCUUUAAUAUAAAUAAGCCAAAUUUUCUGAGCAACCAGA